CAAUGGCAUCAGAAACCUAUUGAAUUAUGAAAUUUCAGUAGAAUAAAACUCUCUAAAUUCAAUAGGAGUUAACUACUCCUGUGAGGAGAAAAGGACUUAAUUAAAGUACUGAGAGCAGAGAGAAUGAGUUUAAUUAGUCGAAAAGUACAUUAUUACUAAGAGCACACCAAUCAAUUUUAAUUCUGAAGUCUAUCAACUACCAAGAUACCUCAUACGAAUUAUAAAAUCUCUAAAAAAAAAAAAAUCCAAUGCAAAAUCCAAUUUUCCCCUUUCUUGUUAACAAACAUGCUUUGCAUUAAGUUGUGCCCAUCAAAAAUAAAAAAUAAAAAAUGCUUUGCAUUAAGUUGUGUAAUAAGGUUUUGGGUUUAGGGGUUAUAUAACUACUUUCAGCCUUGCUUAGUUGAGAUGGUGAUGGACUUGAACCAUGCACCUGGGUUGGAAUUCAUUUUGGGCUUUGCAUGUUGAAGCCACCAUGGUGGCAGCAAAAGGCUGUCAAAAUGUAAAUUAUUUUCAGUGGUUUCUGGAUUUUCUUUGUGUUCCACAUUUAAGAUUAUACUGCUAUUUUGAUUACUCUGCUCAACCAUGUGCCAUUAUUCAUAUGAGUCAUGUUCAAGAGGGUCUUGCAGGAAGAAAACUAAUUUGCUGCCAGCAUGGAAAUUUCUGGUAUGAUGCUGAAAGAUUGUCCUUUAAAGCAGUGGACUGGGAGAUGUCAAAUUUGUACACAGGCACUCAGGGGGCCUCCUUUAGGUCAUUCUCUAUCUCUUAAAGAUUUGUUCUACUUGAACAUUAGCAUAAAUUAUUUCUGUAUAUCAAUCUCAAUACAUGCACUUGUGUGAUGAGCUCUUGCUAAGGAUUUGGUAUGCAAAGCAACUUUAAUCGGAGUACUGAUAAGUGAUAAGAUGUUUUGAAGAACUUAGAACCAUAAAAGAAAUUGAGGGUUCAGGAAAUUGAACCCAUACAAGCUCCAAACUAGAUGAAUGUGAUUCUAACAGUUUGCUUGAAACAAUGUCAUAGAAAGCAACGGGCGACUUGAGGGUAAUUAAUGUGAAGAGCUCAUCAGAUAAGUGAUAAGAUGUUUUUAUGUGAAGAUUUGGUUUUCGUGGUUGCACCACUGUGUGAUGACAUUCCCUAUGGUACAUCAAUUGCUACAAGUCUUGGCUAAGAAUUUACAAUAUACACUAUGAAGCCCUUUUUGACAGUCUUUUAUUCCAACAGCAUCUAGGACUCCUAGACAAUGUGAUAUCUCGUACUGAGUAAAUUCAUAACCCUGUUCACAAUUGAAUCAAUUAUCUACCAGCUCCAAACUAGAUGAAUGUGAUUCUAACACUUUGCUUCAAACAAUGUCAUAGAAAGCAACGGGCGACUUGAGGGUAAUUAAUGUGAUAACGGCCUGACUCAAGAUCAUAAGAGUAGAGUGGAUAUGUGGUUUUAAGUUAAUAGGAUGAGUGAUGGUUUCUCAACUCACAAUUUCAAUGUGUGCGCUUGGGUACACACAUUUUAUCGUUUCUUUGAUAGGCAUUCAGUCCACAAGAUUAAUGGUCAAAGCUCUCAUCUCUAGAAUCUAGAUACAAGCACUUUCAACUGGAAAGCAUUGGAGAACUGGUGUAUGGAUUGUUUUGAGCAUCACAGCCUCAACCAGCUCAUCAUUGAUCACCUAAAAGUUUUUUUUUUAAAAAGUGGGACAAUGGGAAUUGAAGUUUCUAACAAUUUUUGCUUGUAGAAUGAGGGAGAAGACACUUGUUAGUUUACUGGAUGGGAAGCUGCUAACUGUUGGAUUUGGUGGGAAUGGUGGAGAUGAUGGUUCAGGAAAUGGGUAGGAGAUGGAUGCUUCAGGAGGGGCACUGACAAGAUUAUCCAUUCGCAAGUUUGUUGUAGGUUGCUAGAUUUUAUGAAUAUUUGGGCAUUUUGGGCUUUCUGUGUGUUUCAUUGGAUUGGAUGUAUUUUGAGGCCUAGGCUCUUCCAUGCUGGGGAUUCUUUUAGUACAGCAGUUUCUAUUUUUCUGUUCAUAUCCUUUUUCUUCUGUUCAUUAUAUAAUCCAAGUUUAGGAAGCAGUUAACUCUAUUGAAAGUAGAGGUUGAAGCAGAUUUCCCUUUUAACACUUUGAGCUACAGGAUGCUUGACAUGCACGGUACUUGUUACAUACAAACUAUAUCCUGUAGGUCAAUGGAUUUGGUGAAUUUCUGGGCAUUUUGAGUUGCCUAUUGUUUUCAUUCUGGGGAUUAUUUUAGUACAGCAAGUUCAGUCUUUUCCUGUUAGAUGUAUUUUUCAUCUUUUCUACUUUGUCCAUCACAUAUUAUUUGUAUGGUCCAAGUUGAGGAAGUAGUUCAUUCUAUCAUAAAAGGAGGCUGAAACAGAGGCUCCCUCAUAACUAUUUCAACUAUUAUUAGCACCUUCUGGUUUGAUACAUUGCUGAGAUUAGAUGUCUAUGGGCCCAAUGAGUGAUUUUGAUCUAGUUCACUACCUGUUGGAGGUAGAAGAUGCUCUGGCGUGAUCCUCAGACAGAAAAGUUUGCAGUCCUUUUGAUAAUGAUCAGAGUGGCAUUGCUUGGAUUUUGCUUGAUUCUAAAGUUGCUCAUGGGCUGGAAAUUGCUAGAUAUCAGACAGUGAUAAGUCGAACAUAUACAGCCUGCACUCUAAUUCAUUUCAAGCUACUCUGAUCAUGUACACCAAAUAUCACCAAUUAUUAUUGUACCCUCCACAUAGACCAGGCUUUUAUAAGCCCUUGUCUUUGAAGCAGCUAAGUGGGGCUUGAAGAAGAAGAUGAUGCCCGUGUAGGGGUAGCAUGCUGGACAUUGCUUGGUGAUGGGUCCAAUGGUAUGAUGUAUUGUAGUUUAUUUCCGUAUCUCCUACAAUCUCCUUGAGCCUUACCUGAUUUAACACAUAUCUCUGGACAAGAUUAUCAUUUGUAAGUGGCCAACUAUGUUGGUGUGGCAACAUGGAAGAAGAUAUGCAAAGCUACGCUAGCAGGUCCAAGAGAUCUUACAUAAAGGGGUAAUUUGUAGAAGAUUUGUCUCACAACAAUUCUAGCACAAAAUUAAGCUCUCAAGCACUAGCCUCUAUUGAUUGAUAUUGGCGAUCGAUUUGUUGGCUCGAUGGUUUGAGCUUCCAACUCAACCGGUGGCCACAACUUACAAUUCUUGAAGGUAAAUCUCAUCAAUAAUAGAAGUUAUUUAAGACAAUGGACUUCUAGUGCAUCAUUCAACCUAGCAAAAUAUGAUGAUAGGGGAUUUGUUUUUUAGAUUCCAUCUUAACGCACAUUUGUCUCUUGGCUUGAUUAAAAUUCAAAAACUGCCAACUCCAAUAAACUCAUUAGUAAUGAAACCUAUUUUGUUAUCACUAAAAAUUACAAUUUGAAAAAACUUUGGACUAACAUGUUAGUAUAAUGUUAUCAAUAGU